rnacentral:rRNA from 1 species
AGAGUUUGAUCCUGGCUCAGAGCGAACGCUGGCGGCGUACUUAACACAUGCAAGUCGAACGAGGAUCAUCCGCGUAGCAAUACAUUAGUGGUCCUAGUAGCGCACGGAUGAGUAACACGUGGGUGACCUGCCCUAGAGCUCGGGAUACCCCCUCGAAAGGGGGGCUAAUACCGGAUACGUUCCUUGGUCGAAAGAUCGAAAAGGAAAGGUGGCGCAAGCUGCCGCUCUUGGAAGAGCUCGCGGCCUAUCAGCUAGUUGGCAGGGUAACGGCCCACCAAGGCUAUAACGGGUAGCUGGUCUGAGAGGACGACCAGCCACACGGGGACUGAGACACGGCCCCGACUCCUACGGGAGGCAGCAGUGGGGAAUUUUCCGCAAUGGGCGAAAGCCUGACGGAGUGACGCCGCGUGUGGGACGAAAGCCUUCAGGUCGUAAACCACUGUCAGUGGGAAAGAUGGAUAUCGGGGCUAAUACCUCCGGCAUCUGACGGUACCUGCAGAGGAAGCCCCGGCCAACUCUGUGCCAGCAGCCGCGGUAAUAC